GUAGGGAAUCUUCCACAAUGGACGAAAGUCUGAUGGAGCAACGCCGCGUGAGUGAAGAAGGUCUUCGGAUCGUAAAGCUCUGUUGUUGGUGAAGAAGGAUAGAGGCAGUAACUGGUCUUUAUUUGACGGUAAUCAACCAGAAAGUCACGGCUAACUACGUGCCAC
rnacentral:rRNA from 1 species